GCGAGAUGGUGGAAGGUACGUCUGGGGACCUCUUCGUAAGGGAGAUGGCUCCCGUAAGUCAGCUCUGCUGCCGUUGGCUGGGGAGCUCUUCAGAGCAGAGAGGAUUUUCUUCUUCCUAGGAAAAGAGAGAAGAGGAAACCUGGAUACGCUCAGUGCCCAGCAAGGGGAGGGAACACAGCCCUGCCGUGUUAAUCCUCUACCCUGUAAGGGGAACAGGACGUGGUGAUCACCUCCUCCUGUGCAUCAGGGGCCUUCAGUUCUCACAGAUUUCAAAAAUGAAAUGGACCUCUCAAGUCUGAAUCCACAGCCAAAGCAGAGCUUGUUUUCUGGUGAUCCACACACGUGUGUCUACAGCCUGUUGCGUUGGUUUGCUGGGCAUCAGAGCUGCUGUCUGGGCAGCAGCACAGAUGGCUUCAUCUGCUAAAGUCUUCCACCUGCUGAAUUUGUCCUUCUUCUUCGUGAC